rnacentral:sRNA from 1 species
UCAAGAGUCUCCUCCUUUCUUUAUCUUUGCCAAGACUUAUCUUUCAUCUUUUUGAUAAAAACCAUUCUAACAGGUGUGAAGUGAUACCUCAUUAUGGUUUUAAUUUGAUAAUCAGCUUUUAUGUACAGUUUAUGUGUUAUAAUUAUAUCACCCAAUUUUUCUUAAUGGGACAGCGAUCUAGGGCAGCCCUGCAGAGGUACCUGUUCUACUGUAAUCGCUAUAUGAACCACAUGCAGAGCCUGCGCUUUGAGCACAAACUAUAUGCUCAGGUGAAACAGAAAAUGGAGGAGAUGCAGCAGCACAACAUGUCCUGGAUUGAGGUGCAGUUCCUGAAGAAAGCAGUUGAUGUCCUCUGCCAGUGUCGUGCCACACUCAUGUACACUUAUGUCUUCGCUUUCUACCUCAAAAAGAAUAACCAGUCCAUUAUCUUUGAGAAUAACCAAGCAGAUCUAGAGAAUGCCACAGAGGUGCUCUCGGGCUACCUUGAACGAGAUAUUUCCCAAGAUUCUCUGCAGGAUAUAAAGCAGAAAGUACAAGACAAGUACAGAUACUGUGAGAGUCGACGAAGGGUUUUGUUACAGCAUGUGCAUGAAGGCUAUGAAAAAGAUCUGUGGGAGUACAUUGAGGACU